AACGAACGCUGGCGGCAUGCCUAACACAUGCAAGUCGAACGAGACCUUCGGGUCUAGUGGCGCACGGGUGCGUAACGCGUGGGAAUCUGCCCUUGGGUCUGGAAUACAAGUUAGAAAUGACUGCUAAUACCGGAUGAUGACUUCGGGCCAAAGUUUUAUCGCCCAGGGAUGAGCCCGCGUCGGAUUAGCUCGUUGGUGAGGUAAAAGCUCACCAAGGCGCCGAUCCGUAGCUGGUCUGAGAGGAUUAUCAGCCACACUGGGACUGAGACACGGCCCAGACUCCUACGGGAGGCAGCAGUGGGGAAUAUUGGACAAUGGGCGAAAGCCUGAUCCAGCAAUGCCGCGUGAGUGAUGAAGGCCUUAGGGUUGUAAAGCUCUUUUACCCGGGAAGAUAAUGACUGUACCGGGAGAAUAAGCCCCGGCUAACUCCGUGCCAGCCGCCGCUGUAA
rnacentral:rRNA from 1 species